rnacentral:rRNA from 1 species
AAUGAACGUUGGCGGCGUGGAUUAGGCAUGCAAGUCGAGCGCUCAUAGCAAUAUGGGAGCGGCGAACGGCGUAGUAAUGCAUCGGAACGUACCCUUCGGUCGGGGAUAGCCACGGGAAACUGUGGGUAAUACCCGAUGAUAUCUGCGGAUCAAAGGUGAGAUUCCGCCGGAGGAGCGGCUGAUGUGAUAUUAGCUUGAUGGUGGGGUAAUGGCCUACCAUGGCGAUGAUGUCUAGGGGGUGUGAGAGCAUGGCCCCCACGACCGGAACUGAGACACUGUCCGGACACCUACGGGUGGCUGCAGUCGAGAAUCUUCCGCAAUGGACGAAAGUCUGACGGAGCGACGCCGCGUGCGGGAUGAAGGCCCUUGGGUUGUAAACCGCUGUCAGAGGGGAUGAAAUCUCCGGGGGUACUCCCCCGGAGUUGACAGAGCCUCAAAGGAAGCACGGGCUAAGUACGUGCCAGCAGCCGCGGUAAAGUCUAGC